rnacentral:rRNA from 1 species
AUUGAACGCUGGCGGCAGGCCUAACACAUGCAAGUCGAGCGGAGCGGCGGACGGGGGAGUAAUGCCUAGGAAUCUGCCUGGUAGUGGUGGAUAACGUCCGGAACCGGGCGCUAAUACCGCAUCCUAUCAGAUGCGCCUCGGUCGGAUUAGCUAGUUGGUGUGGUAAAGGCCUACUCAGGCGACGAUCCCUAACUGGGCUGAGAGGAUGAUCAGUCACACUGGAACUGAGACACGGUCCAGACUCCUACGGGAGGCAGCAGUGGGGAAUAUUGGACAAUGGGCGAAAGCCUGAUCCAGCCAUGCCGCGUGUGUGAAGAAGGUCUUCGGAUUGUAAAGUACUUUAAGUUGGGAGGCGUUACCAACAGAAUAAGCACCGGCUAACUUCGUGCCAGCCGCCGCGGUAAUAC